rnacentral:rRNA from 1 species
AACGAACGCUGGCGGCAGGCCUAACACAUGCAAGUCGAGCGGUAACAGGGAGCUUGCUCCGCUGACGAGUGGCGAACGGGUGAGUAAUGCAUCGGAACGUGCCGUGUAAUGGGGGAUAACGUAGCGAAAGUUACGCUAAUACCGCAUACGCCCUGAGGGGGAAAGUGGGGGACCGCAAGGCCUCACGUUAUACGAGCGGCCGAUGUCGGAUUAGCUAGUUGGUGGGGUAAAGGCCUACAAGGCGACGAUCCGUAGCGGGUCUGAGAGGAUGAUCCGCCACACUGGGACUGAGACACGGCCCAGACUCCUACGGGAGGCGAG